GCCGGUGUGCUCAGUGGUUAGAGUGUUGGCCUACACUCCACAGGAUCUCAGGUUCAAUUCCUGGUCACAGGCA
rfam:Myotis lucifugus cont2.15967, whole genome shotgun sequence.